AAUGCCCUGCUUUGUGCGUUGGACACUUGAAGUUUUGAGCCAACAUCUAUUAAAAGGGAACCCGCUUUCUGCAAGGGAAUGUAGACCUUACAUAGUAUAAGGAAACAGGAAGUUGCAGUAGGGUACCCACCUGUUGGGGAACAGGUUCAAAAAACUUUGAGUUUACCAACGGCACGGUGGGGUUUGU
rnacentral:other from 2 species